rnacentral:lncRNA from 1 species
AGAUUUUGUACAAGAGGAGAUAAAGAUGCAUCCUGUGUAGCCCUCUUAUGGGAAAAGAGAGCUGAUACAGUAAUGUUAACCUCAGAAGAAAUGAAGGGGAUAAGGGGGUUUGAGGAAAUCCCCAUAUAUGUGAAGGCCUAGAACAAAUUUUAGAUAUAGCCAGAGGGAAAACCCACUCUUCAUUGGAUUAGAAAAUUCUAAUUAAGAUCACCCCACUACAUUUGAGACUAAUGAUGUCAUCAAUUCUGGCCAAUUGCCAACGUGUUGGAGAAGGUAUUGCCUUCUUCAAGUGGACUGGGAACCCGAAAUGGGUAGGAGUAUAUCCCUGCAGCCUAUUGUACAGAAUCGAAGCAAACCAGAACCGUGGACAGACUCACUCAAAAGGUGGCCUUUUGUAGGCAAAGGCAGGGCAAGACCAUGGGCCCAGACCAACCCUACAUUCCUUCAGAGAAUCAAAGAUAUAAGGACCAUUCCAAAGAUAAGAUCCGAUACCAACAAGACAGCCCCAAGGAGGAGGAUUCAGAAACACAUUCCUAUGCAGACCAAAGAAUGAUAUUGGAGACUUACCCUACUAUGCUUUGGAUGGUAUUCCUACCAGAAUGCUGAGACCAUGAACACUUCACCCUGACUCUUAUGUACACUAGGAAUGCAUUCUGUGCCCAAGAUGGUCUCUGUGCAGCUAUUGGGAAUACAGUUUGGUAUAGCUAUAGUAACGAAUGGAGGAAAGCUAAGGUCCACUUUGUACAGACUUUGAGAGCCAUAGUCUCCAAUGACCAAGAGGAUGUCAAAAAACACCAAUUUUAAGGGGGGAAAGAAACCCAUUGAAAUACCAUUUAACACAGAUUUGGAGAAAUAUCACAGCAGCAUCCGCCAUCUACAGCCACUAAAGAGAACUGUCUCCUAGAGCAUCCAUCCACCUGACAAUGAAGAACAAGGGGAGAAUAAGGUUUGAGAUACCAGACAUGGAAGACUCCAUGUUUGACUGUGAAAUGGCAGCAAACACCAAACUCCACUCAGUGUUCUUCACUCCACACGUAUGGCAGAUGAACCCCACGACUGGCUGCCAGAACAUCAACCAAGAGUGGACUUGAUACAGUUUGUAAGCAGAGGAUGCCCUAGAGCCUAUGCCUCCUGCAUGCCAAGGUACCACAUGAGAAAGGCAAACAACAGAACCCUACACUGGGGGGACACUGCAGGUAUGGAUACUUUCCAAACUAGAACCCUGGAGACAUACACACCAAAGACUCCUGCAUUACUUCUACAAGAUUCUUCUACUACUACAGCUCAAGGAAUGAGGUCCUGGAGACUUUGUGGCCCAUAAGCCCAUACUCAAUAUGCCACAUGCAGGAACUCUGCACAAGGGACUUCAAUUUGAUGAGGUAUGUGUCUUCCCUCUUACAUGGGAUCCUGUGGAAGCAAAGAAGACAGCUUGACAUUGUCAUUGAUAGAGGAGAAGACGACAAGAACUAAUUCUUCACAGCUCCAUGACAAGGUGGCAUUUGUCAGCCCCUCUGUCUCCUCACCACUGCUUAUCAGAGCGCCCAUGAUGAUGCCUGAUCUUAGCCUCCCUGCAAGACAGAUUUACACGUAGGAUCCAGACAAUCUCACUUUCCUUGGACCCCAAAUCAUAGCUCCCACCUUCAGAACUCUGCUCUGAACCUGAGCUUCUGAGAGUAUCAGUCUUCUACACCUCAGGAAAUAAAUUUGUUACAAAAAAAAAAAAAAAAAGUUUACAACUGAUGGUUGCUGACCUGAGUUGGUUGGUUCCUUCCUUGGAGUUGGCACAGUAUCUUCUGUUCCUUCCUACAUCAAUGCAGACAUCAGAAACCCUACUGAACAACAACCAUUGACUGUUAACACCUUGGCUGACACUAGGCUAUUACCCACAAGCUGAUCCACAGGCCUUAACUACAGUUAUUAAAGCAAAGUAGAUUUAUUAAGCAGUGGUUGGCAGAUACUAACAAAUAUACAGCUGAAAAUUUGAAGAGGCUCUCUGUAGCCAACCAAAUUAUUUGCCACAAUGUAUCCAGAGGAACAAAAACAAGAGAAUGUAUCCAAGCAAGACUCAAGACUUGCUUUUCAAAGAGUAGAGGCUGACUGGUCUCAGCCCUUUUUUUUUUUUUUUUACAGGAUCAGUCAACAAUACUCUACUGGAGCCAAGGCAAAUCUCUAGGUGUGAGCAUGGAUUCUCUAAAAAUCCAUUUACUCUUAGUCUAUAAGGACAAUGUGAUACCAGCUCAACACACUACCAUUGCCUGGGAAACUUGUUAUACCCACUGAUUCUUUCCUAUGGAUUAGUUGGACUAAUACAGUGGAUGUUUACUAGCCAGAGGAACGUACCAUCUCAUCUGGUCCCACACCUUUUUUUUUUUUUUUUUUUUUUGUGACUCCCCACCCUCUGUCCAGUGAGCUCCGAAUACCCUUCCAACCAACUCAUAGACCCUGGCACUAGAGUCUCCUCUGCUUGUCCCAUGAAGGCCUUCAGCGUCAUGGGUGACAUCUAUAACUUCGCCAUGAACACCUGAGACUCCACCUUUUAUUCUGUAGAACCUGGUUGUGUGGCUAUAUAGAAUUUUCCUGGAGUGAGAGCUCAUUUCUCAGAACAGGUAGAUAUGCCCAGCCACUCUCUCUACCCUAACCUUUGAACAG